GAUGAACGCUAGCUACAGGCUUAACACAUGCAAGUCGAGGGGAAACGACAUCGAAAGCUUGCUUUUGAUGGGCGUCGACCGGCGCACGGGUGAGUAACGCGUAUCCAACCUGCCCUUGUCCACGGGAUAACCCGGUGAAAACCGGCCUAAUACCGUAUGAGGUCACAAGCGGACAUCCAACUGUGACGAAAGGUUUAGCGGACAAGGAUGGGGAUGCGUCCGAUUAGCUUGUUGGCGGGGUAACGGCCCACCGUGGCUACGAUCGGUAGGGGUUCUGAGAGGAAGGUCCCCCCACAUUGGAACUGAGACACGGUCCAAACUCCUACGGGAGGCAGCAGUGAGGAAUAUUGGUCAAUGGACGGGAGUCUGAACCAGCCAAGUAGCGUGCAGGAUGACGGCCCUAUGGGUUGUAAACUGCUUUUAUAGGGGGAUAAAGUGUGCCACGUGUGGCAUAUUGCAGGUACCCUAUGAAUAAGGACCGGCUAAUUCCGUG
rnacentral:rRNA from 1 species